UACGUAGGGGGCUAGCGUUAUCCGGAUUUACUGGGCGUAAAGGGUGCGUAGGUGGUUUUUUAAGUCAGGAGUGAAAGGCUACGGCUCAACCGUAGUAAGCUCUUGAAACUGAGAAACUUGAGUGCAGGAGAGGAAAGUGGAAUUCCUAGUGUAGCGGUGAAAUGCGUAGAUAUUAGGAGGAACACCAGUAGCGAAGGCGGCUUUCUGGACUGUAACUGACACUGAGGCACGAAAGUGUGGGGAGCAAACAGG
rnacentral:rRNA from 1 species